GACGAACGCUGGCGGCGUGCUUAACACAUGCAAGUCGAGCGGAAAGGCCCUUCGGGGUACUCGAGCGGCGAACGGGUGAGUAACACGUGAGUAACCUGCCCCAGACUUUGGGAUAACCCUCGGAAACGGGGGCUAAUACCGGAUACGACACAGCUUCGCAUGGGGUCUGUGUGGAAAGUUUUUCGGUUUGGGAUGGGCUCGCGGCCUAUCAGCUUGUUGGUGGGGUGAUGGCCUACCAAGGCGACGACGGGUAGCCGGCCUGAGAGGGCGACCGGCCACACUGGGACUGAGACACGGCCCAGACUCCUACGGGAGGCAGCGGUGGGGAAUAUUGCACAAUGGGCGGAAGCCUGAUGCAGCGACGCCGCGUGGGGGAUGACGGCCUUCGGGUUGUAAACCUCUUUCAGCAGGGACGAAGCGUAAGUGACGGUACCUGCAGAAGAAGCGCCGGCCAACUACGUG
rnacentral:rRNA from 1 species